GGGCCAUUAGCUCAGGUGGUUAGAGUGCACCCCUGAUAAGGGUGAGGUCCUUGGUUCAAGUCCAAGAUGGCCCACCA
rnacentral:tRNA from 1 species